rnacentral:rRNA from 1 species
CCUACGGGAGGCAGCAGUAGGGAAUCUUUCACAAUGGGCGAAAGCCUGAUGGAGCAACGCCGCGUGCAGGAUGAAGGCCUUCGGGUUGUAAACUGCUUUUAUAAGCGAGAAAUAUGAUGGUAACUUAUGAAUCAGGAUCGGCUAACUACGUGCCAGCAGCCGCGGUCAUACGUAGGAUCCGAGCAUUAUCCGGAGUGACUGGGUGUAAAGAGUUGCGUAGGUUGCAUAAUAAGUAGCUAGUGAAAUCUGGUGGCUCAACCCUUCAGACUAUUAGCUAAACUGUUAAGCUCGAGACCGUUAGGGGUCACUGGAAUUUCUAGUGUAGGAGUGAAAUCCGUAGAUAUUAGAAGGAACACCAAUAGCGUAGGCAGGUUGCUGGGACGGUUCUGACACUAAGGCACGAAAGCGUAGGGAGCAAACGGGAUUAGAUACCCGGGUAGUC